UGUAGACUGGACUAACUUUCUCUUUCUCUUUUUCCUUUUUUUUUUUCUUUGAUGCUCUACUGUACGUGUAUUUUUUGUGCUGAGCAAUUAGAUGUUUGGCUGUGAGCACUGUGCCAGCUCCAGUGCUCCUCAGCUUGAAAAUUGUGGCCCAUUUAUCACUUUUACAACUCAUUUUCACCCCAAAACACUCCACUCCUGGGCUGGAUAAAAACCUUGCUGCUGCCAUGUCCUUGAGUUCCUGGCGACAGGAAGAAGAAGCCGGGCAACAAGUCCCCAGGUGCGAAGCAUAAUAUUGACCCUACAAUCCAUCUUUAUUGAUUUUACCAUCAACGUGGCCGCCUAAUACAUGCAUAAGGAGCUUUAUACCUUGCUGUGCUGCGAGACAGUUUCUCCUCCAGGAAGGAGCACACACAGUGUGAGAGAGAAAAGGUUAACCUUUGAUUCUAAAACUAGCUCAGGAAACAUAAACCAUGUGAUCAAC